UACGUAGGGGGCAAGCGUUGUCCGGAUUUAUUGGGCGUAAAGAGCGUGUAGGCGGCCAGUCAGGUCCGUUGUGAAAACUCGAGCUCAACCUCGAGACGCCGAUGGAAACCGACUGGCUAGAGUCCGGAAGAGGAGAGUGGAAUUCCCGGUGUGAGCGGUGAAAUGCGCAGAUAUCGGGAAGAACACCCGUGGCUAAGGCGGCUCUCUAGUACGGUACUGACGCUGAGACGCGAAAGCGUGGGGAGCGAACAGG
rnacentral:rRNA from 1 species